AUUCCAGCUCCAAUAGCGUAUAUUUAAGUUGUUGCAGUUAAAAAGCUCGUAGUUGGAUUUCGGGUGGGCUGCGCCGGUCUCCUAACGGUUGUACUGGCGACGCCUGCCUUGCUGCCGGGGACGGGCUCCUGCCUUUACUGUCGGGACCCGGAAUCGGCGACGUUACUUUGAGUAAAUUAGAGUGUUCAAAGCAAGCCUACGCUCUGAAUAUAAUAGCAUGGGAUAACACGACAGGACUCUGGCCUAUCGUGUUGGUCUGUAGGACCAGAGUAAUGAUUAAGAGGGACAGUCGGGGGCAUUCGUAUUCCGUUGUCAGAGGUGAAAUUCUUGGAUUUACGGAAGACGAACAUCUGCGAAAGCAUUUGCCAAGGAUGUUUUCAUCG
rnacentral:rRNA from 1 species